AACGCACAUUGCGCCCGGUGGUAUUCCGCCGGGCAUGCCUGUUCGAGCGUCAUUUAAACCAAUCUAGCCUCGUGCUUAGGUCUUGGGCCUUUCGCCUUUGGGCGGGCCUUAAAAUCAGUGGCGGUGCCAUCUGGCUCUAAGCGUAGUAAUACUCCUCGCUAUAGACGUCAGGCGGUGUCUUGCCAACAACCCCUAAUUUUUAAAGGUUGACCUCGGAUCAGGUAGGGAUACCCGCUGAACUUAA
rnacentral:misc_RNA from 1 species